AUUGAACGCUGGCGGCAGGCCUAACACAUGCAAGUCGAGCGGAUGAAGGGAGCUUGCUCCUGGAUUCAGCGGCGGACGGGUGAGUAAUGCCUAGGAAUCUGCCUGGUAGUGGGGGAUAACGUCCGGAAACGGGCGCUAAUACCGCAUACGUCCUGAGGGAGAAAGUGGGGGAUCUUCGGACCUCACGCUAUCAGAUGAGCCUAGUUCGGAUUAGCUAGUUGGUGGGGUAAAGGCCUACCAAGGCGACGAUCCGUAACUGGUCUGAGAGGAUGAUCAGUCACACUGGAACUGAGACACGGUCCAGACUCCUACGGGAGGCAGCAGUGGGGAAUAUUGGACAAUGGGCGAAAGCCUGAUCCAGCCAUGCCGCGUGUGUGAAGAAGGUCUUCGGAUUGUAAAGCACUUUAAGUUGGGAGGAAGGGCAGUAAGUUAAUACCUUGCUGUUUUGACGUUACCAACAGAAUAAGCCCCGGCUAACUUCGUG
rnacentral:rRNA from 1 species